GGCUAGCAGUGGAAUCCAGGAUAGGACGAAACGCGCGUCCUGGAU
rnacentral:hammerhead_ribozyme from 1 species